ACUAAAUUUUUGAAUUGCUUGAUUGAUUGAUUGACUAUGAUUUCUUAUUACAUUUUUCAUUCAUCAUUCAUACUUCUCAAAUGCACCUUUAAAUAGCACUCAACCGGCACCGGCACAGAUCUUGAACGCUCGGCAACAGAGUGGCUCAGAAGCGUUCAUAAAUUAUAGACGUCGCGUCGCCGUAACAAACUAAUUUACUAUUAGCAAAUCCAUUCAUAAAUGGGAAAGUCUACAUGGAUGGAGUCUACAAGGUCCAGUAACCAUUUAUAUAAAUAUUUAUUGUGUGUA